rnacentral:lncRNA from 1 species
GUAUAUGAACAGUCUUUACGUCCGUGGCAUUUGCAUACAUUGGAUUCAAUACUGUUGCCCCCUGUAAUAGUCUCUAUUUUGUACCGUGUAAACUGGCAUGGCUCGUAUAAAGAACGAGGAAAUAGAAGAACCUGAAAUAUGGAGACACACAAUCGCGAAAUGGAAGGGAAAUGAAUAGGGUCGGCUAAAGAAACUGCACUGUGUUACGGUGACGUUUCAUAUACGUCUGUUUUCUUUUUCUCUCUUCUAGAAGGAUGUUUUUAAGACUGACGGCAUCAAAGAAUACGGCCGUAAUCUAGUUUUCUACGUAUUCCAUAAUAACCUCCGUUGCCUUCCUCUUCUUGUUGCUGCGUCAAGAGAUAUAUUCAUCUCUCCUGCAUUUGUGACGCGUGUCAACGAUCCAAGAUUUGGACGUGCCAAUGUUAUUGUAAUACAGCUUUGAAAAAAUGUUUUUUCUCCAUUCCAGACACUGUGUUUGGAUAUAGUUUAUUUUAUUAUUAUUAUUUGACAGUGUGUCACAACUUAGAAAACGGACGGCUUUCGUUAAUUUCAAACAAAACAAAACCUGGGUGUGGAUAAUCAGUUUCUGUGAAAAUGAGUGACACAGUUAUCGCCAUUUGGCCGUAUUCCAAAAAUCGUCAAGCCACAUUUCCUUCGUCGCGACUCAUUUCAGUAAGGGAUAAAUAUUUGUGUCUGCAUUUUAUAAUGAAAGCGAGGGGCGCUACGAAAUAUAAUGAGAAAAGAGAAAAUACAAAAAGCCACAAGAAGAAGACCGGAUCCAUUCUGAUUAACGAAAACAAAGUCGUUGUUAUUCAUACGAGGAUUAAUCUUUUUUGUCAAAACUCAAACAUUCUUCUGCCAGUGAAUUUUAGCUUCGUAUUAACUCAUACGAGAAUUUAAAAAUACAUAAAUAAUUCAAACCACUUUUUAAAAUUCAAUCUGCUUCAGUGAUUCCGGUCGCGUCGUCUGCUUGCUUUUCUUUGUCAGUUGUUUGUCGUGAGCUCUGUAAGCGACAACCCAAUCUCACAAACAGAGCUCGACUGAGUUGGAGGGCGUAUUAUGUGCAGUGUACGAAUAUGAGACAAGAAAAAGAAACGAAGACUUCACGAAAUGAAACCCGGUUUGGCCACGACGUGGAAAUAGAACUGUCUAGAACUCGUUCGUUAACCAUAAGGGUUGCAACAAGACGAUGCCCGGCUACUUUCGUUCACUUGGGUCAAUUACAAUAGCAGCUUCUCCAUGCCAGAAAUGUCUUUCUUGGAUGACAUUAGCUGUGAAGCAAAAGCAGUGUGGCGUAACCUAGCUACAAACACAUAUGUCGUCUAUCCAUCUAGUACAUUGCUGAAACUGAUCAAAGAAGGCGAUGUAGAUUUGAAAGUGUCAUCAACCUCUUCAAUGGCCAGCAUUUUCGUCUAUUCGUUUCAACCUUCGCAAGCCUCGUUUCAAAGGGAUCCCUCUUCGGCUACACCUUAAGGUCUGAGAUCGUCUAGUCGUCACACAUCAGUGAAGAAAUGGAUGAAACAAGAGAGCAGACAUCAGGUAAGCAAAAUAUUGCGCCCGUGUAAUAUCCAACGAUAGUAUUCCGUCUGAAAUGUAAGUGGAGGCUCUU